UUGACAGAUUUGUAUACUUUCCCCUCCUUCUCUGUCCUCCCGUGUGAUCGGAUCCAGAGUAAAAUCCGGGAAUCCAGGCAGCGCAUUUGAAAUCUCUGUAAAUCCAGCUGGAAUUUAGCCGCUGCGUGGAGGAGCCAAAAUCCAGGGGCUAUCCUAAAUUCUGAGGGACAUGGCAAUCCUAAGCAGGUAUGAGAGCAGACUCUGUUGAAAGAAGAAAUAUCUUCCAGGGAUCUGUAUAAGGACCAGCAUUUUUGCAAAGAUUCCAGAAAGCUUUGCAUCCGGCUGCUUUUGGCUCUCGGAGAGUAUCCAUUUGGCAGUAUUCCAUCAUGUCUUGAAUCCGCACCCAGCAGGCCGAGAUGCAAGGAGAAUGGCAUGAGAUAAAUUAAGUUACGGCCGGCUACCUUAGAGAUGAAAAGCAGAAAAAGCAAAAGAUUUUUUUGAUAAAAAGAGAAGAUUAAGCUGGAGAGGGCAGGAAGAGGAGACGAGACCCCAACAAAGGCACAUUUAACCAGUAUCCCUUGCGAAAGGAAGGGGAGCCCGAAAGUGACAAAUACCACCGAUAAUCUCCCAUUCGCAAGCAGUUUCGUCGGGAGGCCUUAUACACAGGAGGAACACUGUACCAAUGUGUGAGUCAAGAUAAUCGGAUAAAGAUCUCUGUGUUAGCCUUUGAGCAGAGCGACAUUUGGGGCAUAUUUUGAUAAAGGAGAGUCGACUUGUGGCAUUUAGUUCCAGAGAGAUCCCAUUUCUCUUCUAGACAGGAGAGGAAUUCCAAUGAAAACCUAAAGGUCACCAGCUUGGGAGUUGGAAAGGGG